GAUGAUGAGAUGGUUCAUGUCUGCAGUCGUCCUCCUUGAUCAGAUUACAGCUUUUCUACUGUCAGAGGUGCUGACAGGAAAACAGGACAAAUGUUUUCUAUCUGUGUCACAAAAACCUUUUCAGAGUUCAUUUUAAUACACCAACUCAAACCAACCAUCAGGGACACA